rnacentral:rRNA from 1 species
GACGAACGCUGGCGGCGUGCUUAACACAUGCAGGUCGAACGGAAAGGCCCUGCUUUUGUGGGGUUCUCGAGUGGCGAACGGGUGAGUAACACGUGAGUAACCUGCCCUUGACUUUGUGAUAACUUCAGGAAACUGGGGCUAAUACCGGAUAGGAUCUCCUGCUGCAUGGUGUGGGUUGGAAAGUUUCGGCGGUUGGGGAUGGACUCGCGGCUUAUCAGCUUGUUGGUGGGGUAGUGGCUUACCAAGGCUUUGACGGGUAGCCGGCCUGAGAGGGUGACCGGCCACAUUGGGACUGAGAUACGGCCCAGACUCCUACGGGAGGCAGCAGUGGGGAAUAUUGCACAAUGGGCGGAAGCCUGAUGCAGCAACGCCGCGUGCGGGAUGACGGCCUACGGGUUGUAAACCGAUUUCGAAUGUGACGAAGCGUGAGUGACGGUAAUGGGUAAAGAAGCACCGGCUAACUACGUG